GACGAACGCUGGCGGCGUGCCUAAUACAUGCAAGUUGAGCGCUGAAGGUUGGUACUUGUACCAACUGGAUGAGCAGCGAACGGGUGAGUAACGCGUGGGGAAUCUGCCUUUGAGCGGGGGACAACAUUUGGAAACGAAUGCUAAUACCGCAUAAAAACUUUAAACACAAGUUUUAAGUUUGAAAGAUGCAAUUGCAUCACUCAAAGAUGAUCCCGCGUUGUAUUAGCUAGUUGGUGAGGUAAAGGCUCACCAAGGCGAUGAUACAUAGCCGACCUGAGAGGGUGAUCGGCCACAUUGGGACUGAGACACGGCCCAAACUCCUACGGGAGGCAGCAGUAGGGAAUCUUCGGCAAUGGACGAAAGUCUGACCGAGCAACGCCGCGUGAGUGAAGAAGGUUUUCGGAUCGUAAAACUCUGUUGGUAGAGAAGAACGUUGGUGAGAGUGGAAAGCUCAGCAAGUGACGGUAACUACCCAGAAAGGAACGGCUAACUACGU
rnacentral:rRNA from 1 species